UUUGAUACAGACAGGAGGCAGGGAAAUACUGGGUAGAAAAGGGCAGUCCCUGGAAGGGCCUUACCCUCAAGCCUGGAACCACAUCCCAAAGUAAUUACACUCUCUUACUCAUCUUUUUGGAAAAUUGUCCUUCCUUUUCCUCACAUAUGGUUCUGAUGGUACCAAUCACAGCACGUUGGCUCCAACCUGACUAAUGGGAGGGCCUAUGUCUCAAGCCAGAAUGGGAAAAAUGCCUUGGAAAGACAGAGACACACAGGAAGAAUAUCAUGUGACAACAGAAACAGAUGGAGUGAUGCAGCUGCAAGCCAGAGAAUGGCAAGGAUCAAAGGAAGCCACCAGAAGACAGGAAGAAGCAAGAAAGGAUUCUUCCCUACAUAGUCUCCGUUUCAGAGGGAGCAAAGCACUGCUGAUACUUUCAUUUUGGACUUUUAACUUCCACGACUAUGAGAUAAUAAAUGUCUGUUAUUUU